rnacentral:rRNA from 1 species
CUGGCUCAGGAUGAACGCUAGCGGCAGGCUUAACACAUGCAAGUCGAGGGGCAUCGGGAGUAGCAAUACUUGCCGGCGACCGGCGCAAGGGUGCGUAACGCGUGAGCAACAUGCCCGUAUCAGGGGGAUAAUCCAUGGAAACGUGGUCCUAAUACCCCAUAGUAAUUAUGUAAGGCAUCUUAUAUAAUUUAAAGCUUUGGUGGAUACGGAUUGGCUCGCGUGACAUUAGCUAGAUGGUAAGGUAACGGCUUACCAUGGCUACGAUGUCUAGGGGUUCUGAGAGGAAGGUCCCCCCACACUGGAACUGAGACACGGUCCAGACUCCUACGGGAGGCAGCAGUGAGGAAUGUUGGACAAUGGAUGGAAAUCUGAUCCAGCCAUGCCGCGUGCAGGGAAAGACGGCCCUAUGGGUUGUAAACUGCUUUUGUAUGGGAGCAAUAAGGGCUACGCGUAGUCCGAUGAGAGUACCAUACGAAUAAGCACCGGCUAACUCCGUGCCAGCCGCAGC